AACCAAAUACACACACGUAUCGGCACAUUGUCCCGGGUGCUCCGGUGGCCAGGUGGCCCCAGAGUCGGAUAAUGGGAUGCGUGGAGGCGUAAC
rnacentral:sRNA from 1 species